CCAAAUAUCACUCCAGCCUCAAUGCCCUUGUUGCCGAGUGCAACAUUGUCCUCAUCUCCGUUGACUAUCGCCGAGUCCCUGAGCACGCCCUCCCCACGGCCUACGAUUGUUCCUGGGCUGCUCUGCAGUGGAUCACUUCGGAGGAAGCCCGGUGCGAGCUGUGGCUCAGGGACCAUGCCAAAUUCGAUCGGCUCUUCCUUGCUGGUGGCAGCGGUGGCGCCAACAUGUCGCACCACUUGGCUAUGCGACUCAGGCACUCUUCACAACGAUUGGCUCGUGUGGCUGCUAAGUAAAGCAAUGACGAUGCAUGCCCAAGUUCUUGUCUCAUGUGCGCCCACGGAGCGAUGCGGUGGCUACAUCUUUGUCAACUCCAUUCAUCGUCCCCCACUGAACGGAGACAGGAGACCUGCCCCGUUAUUUAUUAUAAGAGAUCAUGUCACAGAGGCUCGCGGAUAAACCGUCUCCUUUCCUUUCCCUUUCUUGGAUAAGAACAAAUUGAUAACUGAAUUGUUUGAAUGGGGAUACAAGCAAAGCAGAGAACAAAGGGCUAGAUUUCUUACAAGCUGCAGCGUCUACUGAUCAAGCCAAUGUAAUAAUUAGUCCCGGAACACCGCCACAAAAGAUGAUACAGAGUUGUGCAGAAUGCAGGUGACAUAAGAUGCCGAUUCGGAGGGCCUUAGAAGACUACGGUAUCAAGCAUGGUCCCUAAGGUCUGAACUAUGUUGGAAGACAUAAGGUUGGAAACGUGCUCCUCGAGGUGCUUCUUGGCAUCUUGCCUUCCCACAUUCGCGAUCGCCAGCUUCUCUGGUGGCAAUUCAUCCUCCUCCUGCACUGCCUUGUUAUACUUUAUUGCCAAAUUCAGCAUCUCCUGCAAGAUUGGAAGGGGGAAAAAAUCAACUCAUUUUGAUUGUGCCAUAAAUAGAAAUCAAAAACAUCCGCCCACCAACCAACUGAUAUGAUAUUCAUAAUGAACUGCAGAAAAAGAUGGGUUUCCUGUGGCCCUACCAUAUGGAUAUUGUGGCCAGCCACUACUCGUUAUUGGACUCUAAUAAGAUACAAACGAUCACCGGUUAUACUCACUGGCCAAGAACCCUCCUCUCACUUUCCUAAUCCUGCCACUAAUGAAUUAUAUAUAUCCUCCAUUUACUUAAAUGGACCUACAAGGAAAACCCAUAUUCAAGUCUUCAGAAUUGAGGCAUUUAUUACACCACCACACACAAUGUCAUCCCCGUCCAUUGCCGUAAAUGUUCCUAAUAUAUCUGUAACACCUGUCCAGAGUAUGCACCAAGAAUCAUGUAAAGCUUUGACUAGAGAUUGUCACCAAUCAAUUGUUGCCCUGUUGCCCUUCAUUGAAUAGGUCUUUGCCAAUCCGUUUAAGAGAAAAAAAAAAAAAAAAGAAGAGAAGGGAGGGGGGAGGUGUAUCUGCAGUGUACUUUCAUUAAUAGUUUUUGGAAGAGAAUAUACCAAAGAAUGAACCACACUAUGUAACCAAUCUUAUCACAAAACAAACGACUAUAUUUUUUCCCCUGGAUGCUUUCUUCUCAGCCUAGAUGUAAAGCAUAAAGCACGACCUUAGCUUUUGGAUAAUAAAGCAUGAAUCUUACUCCUACCCAAAAAAAA